CUUGGGCCAGGGUUUUGGCAGCUGGCUGCAACGCAGUUUUGCGAUGGACAUUGAGUGUUCCAGCUCUGUGUCUUUACAUCAAAACAACCAUGUCUGCCGACGGACCAGAAGUUCAGACUGGGACGGCGUGUCUCUGCCCAUACGUUGCGGCCCCCGUGGGAAGACAGGAGGGCUGGGAAGACCCGUGGCUCACAGGUGCAGUGGUUGAUGUCAGGAAUGCUGAGGACCUCUGUGUGACCUUCCCACAUAGGUGGUGCUUCUGAACAGCGUGGCCGAUGGAACUCCGGGCAGGAUUUUGUCUGACUGAACUCAGACGAGGCCUGAGCAGCUGACUGACGGCAAACCUGCAUACGUGUCCGUCAGGUGAAGAUGUGGGUUCAUGCCAGCAGAAAGUGACAGGGCAGUAUCACGUUGUCAUUGCUGACCUGCUCUGGGGUACUCGGAUUGCAGGUAUUGUGAGGACCAGGACACAUCUUCUGAAACAUACCCUGCUCAAGUGAACAUCUGAGAACCCAUUGGUGUCUGCGCCACUGGGGGUACAGGGGCCCUUGAUCCAUCUCACCAGCGGGGCCUCUCGUCCCCGGGGCGACGCUCCAUCCGCUGAGCCACACUGGAUGGGCAGAAUGAAUACCCUUGA